UAUAACUGGGAUGUUUUCUCUCACAAGCCAGGAACUGUCACUGAUGGAAGUAAUGGUGACAUUGUUGAUGACCAUUACCAUCGUUAUAAGGUUGGACUACAAGUGGAAAAUUGGCAUGUC